rnacentral:lncRNA from 1 species
CCGGGUACUCCCGCUGCAGCCCCCGAAGCUCCAUCUCCUCCGGAUCACUCACCGAGCCCGUGGACAUCCCGUUGUCCCCCUUGCCCACACGCGUCCUCUUUCCUCCCCCCUGGCCAGUCUCGCUGUCUCCGCCUUCCGCUCCCUGGCGGAGGCGGAGGCCAGAGAGCGCUCCAAGGAAGACUAAAAACCCAGGCCGGGAAGCGCGGGGUGAGAAAGCGAGGUGGGUGGCGAGAGCGUGAGCGCCCCUCUGCUGACCCCGGGGAGCGUGGACUACGAGUUGGCGCCCAAGUCCAGAAUCCGCGCGCACCGCGGAAAAUAUUUGCAAUACCUGCCACGUCCAAGGUUCAGCUGAGGCCAAUGUAAAGCCAGUAUUAUAGGACACUUCUCAGACUGAGAGCCCAAUGUCGUUGGAAACCACUGGGCCACAGGAAAGGCAGACUUAUAGAUGGGGUCACACACCAUUCUACAAAGAGGGGAGUCUCUCCGUGAAAUGACUUGAACUUAUAAAGCGCAUUCUGCUAUGUGGUUGCCUCACCAACUCCCUUCCUGCCUGGACUAUUACAGUAACCUGUGGAUUGGUCUCCUUGCCUUGAGACGAUGACAUUUCUGGCACCUAAACCCAUCAGCAUCAAGUUGUUCUUUUGAAAACAUAAAUAUGACCAUGUUACAUGUUUUUAAACCUUUCAAUGGAAUACUUUCACCUACAGGAUAAUGUUUAGAUUUUUUAACAUGGCAUGCAUGACGCUUCACUCUCUGGCUUCCACACAUUCUCCAGAAUUACUUCCUGUCACUCUCCUAUGUCUAUUCUUGUCUCCAACAAUUCCCAACCUCUUGUGCUGUGGUCCAUGGCUCUCCAUGCCUCAUGCCUGUGCUGUCCUGGAGCACUUCCUUCAACUGAUACACAAAAAAAGUCUUGCUUAUUCUUCCCUGAUCUACCUGGGUUUCACCUUCACCUGUAUGCAGAGUUAAUGCCUUCCCGCUGUCUGUUCCCAUAUCAGGCUGUGUACUAUUGAAAUAUUCAUCACUCCCUUCAGGCUGUGGCUUAAUGUGCCCAUCUCCUUAUCAGCCUUGGCAAUUUAAGGACAGAGGUUUUGUUUUGUUUUUUGUUUUUUAAUCUCUCUCAUUUUUGUGUGUUCUCAGGAGCAGGAGAGAAGGGAUGUUAAUAUGUUGAAUUAAUGUUAAUCAUUAAAACCAUCACAACCCCAAAUUUCUUUAAUCCCUACUUAAUCCAAAUUGAUUGAAUUUGUACAAUUUUCAUGAAUGUUGAAUAAUCUUGAGGUGAAAUAAUCUUAUUUCACAAAAUAAAAAUUUGUUGAAAUAUCAUUCAACAAAGAUAUUAUUCUAAAUAUUCAAAACCGAAAGAAAGCAUAGGUCAUAGAGCUAUUUGGUGGUCAGUUCAGAGGAAACUUUGACAGGAUGAUGCCAACAAUGGGAAAAAAAAAGCCCCAAUAACCAUCCUGUCUUAUAACCUACAAAUAAUGUUACAUACAAUUUUAAAUUCAAAUAUAUUUGUUAGCAUGUUUGAAAUCUAUUUUUGUUUGUUUGUUUUCCUGGGCUCCUCAGAUAGUGAAUUGGACUUAGGAACAGAUUUUGAAGAAUAAACUAGAAUCAGUCAAGUGGAUGGAGGGUAAAUGUCCUCUAGGGGGAUAACUCACCAGAAAAAGAGGCUGAAGAGUAGGCAGCAAGGGAAGAGCUGGUGGCUCCUCAUCUGUAGCACAGGGUGUUGUGAAAGUAGGAGAGAGAAGGCUGGCACGGGGUGGGGGCGGGUGCAGAGCAGGUCAUGUAGGGUCAUACAAACCUCACUAAAUUCCAAAGACCACAGGAAGUCUCAGAAGCAUUUUUCCAG